UUGCUUCAGCAGCACAUAUACUAAAAUUGGAACAAUACAGAGGAGAUUAGCAUGGCCCCUGCACAAGGAUGACAUGCAAAUUCGUGAAGCGUUCCAUAUUUUU
rnacentral:snRNA from 1 species